GACGAACGCUGGCGGCGUGCUUAAGACAUGCAAGUCGAACGGAAAGGCCCUGCUUUUGUGGGGUGCUCGAGUGGCGAACGGGUGAGUAACACGUGAGUAACCUGCCCUUGACUUUGGGAUAACUUCAGGAAACUGGGGCUAAUACCGGAUAGGAGCUCCUGCUGCAUGGUGGGGGUUGGAAAGUUUCGGCGGUUGGGGAUGGACUCGCGGCUUAUCAGCUUGUUGGUGGGGUAGUGGCUUACCAAGGCUUUGACGGGUAGCCGGCCUGAGAGGGUGACCGGCCACAUUGGGACUGAGAUACGGCCCAGACUCCUACGGGAGGCAGCAGUGGGGAAUAUUGCACAAUGGGCGGAAGCCUGAUGCAGCAACGCCGCGUGCGGGAUGACGGCCUUCGGGUUGUAAACCGCCUUCGCCUGUGACGAAGCGUGAGUGACGGUAAUGGGUAAAGAAGCACCGGCUAACUACGUG
rnacentral:rRNA from 1 species